rnacentral:tRNA from 1 species
GGCUCAAUGGUCUAGUAGUAUGAUUCCUGCUUUGGGUGCAGGAGGUCCUGGGUUCAAUUCCCAGUUGAGCCC